GUGCUUGCUUUAGGCAGCACAUAUACUAAAUUGGAAACGAUACAGAGAAGAUUGCAUGGCCCUGCGAAGGAUGACAUGCAAUUCGUGAAAGCCGUUCCCUAAAAAA
rnacentral:snRNA from 1 species